CCUACGGGAGGCAGCAGUGAGGAAUAUUGGUCAAUGGACGCGAGUCUGAACCAGCCAAGUAGCGUGAAGGAUGACUGCCCUAUGGGUUGUAAACUUCUUUUAUAUGGGAAUAAUAUGUUCCACGUGUGGGAUUUUGUAUGUACCAUAUGAAUAAGGCUCGGGGUACCCCGUGUCAGCAACCGCGGUAAUACGGAGGAUCCGAGCGUUUUCCGGAUUUAUUGGGUUUAAAGGGGGCGGAGGGUGGUUGUUAAGGCCGUCGUGAAAGUUUGCGGGUCAAACGUAAAAGUGCAGUUGAAACUGGCAGUCUUGAGUACAGUAGAGGUGUGCGGAAUGCGUGGUGUAGCGGUGAAAUGCAUAGAUAUCACGAAGAACUCCGAUUGCGAAGGCAGUACACUGGACUGCAACUGACACUGAGGCUCGAAAGUGUGGGUAUCAAACAGGAUUAGAUACCCCAGUAGUC
rnacentral:rRNA from 1 species